rnacentral:rRNA from 1 species
CACGUAGUUAGCCGGCGCUUCUUCUGCAGGUACCGUCACUUUCGCUUCUUCCCUACUGAAAGAGGUUUACAACCCGAAGGCCGUCAUCCCUCACGCGGCGUCGCUGCAUCAGGCUUUCGCCCAUUGUGCAAUAUUCCCUACUGCUGCCUCCCGUAGGAGUCUGGGCCGUGUCUCAGUCCCAGUGUGGCCGGUCACCCUCUCAGGCCGGCUACCCGUCGUCGCCUUGGUGAGCCAUUACCUCACCAACAAGCUGAUAGGCCGCGAGUCCAUCCCCCGACCGAUAAAUCUUUCAACAACCCACCAUGCGGUAAGAAGUCAUAUCCGGUAUUAGACCCAGUUUCCCGGGCUUAUCCCAAAGUCGGGGUCAGGUUACUCACGUGUUACUCACCCGUUCGCCACUAAUCACCCGUGCAAGCACGGGGUCAUCGUUCGACUUGCACGUGUUAAGCACGCCGCCAGCGUUCAUCCUGAGCCAGGAUCAAACUC